CCUACGGGAGGCAGCAGUGAGGAAUAUUGGUCAAUGGGCGCGAGCCUGAACCAGCCAAGUAGCGUGAAGGAUGACUGCCCUGCGUGUUGUAAACUUCUUUUAUCAAGGAAUAAAGUGAGGCACGUGUGCCUUUUUGUAUGUACUUUAUGAAUAAGGAUCGGCUAACUCCGUGCCAGCAGCCGCGGUAAUACGGAGGAUCCGAGCGUUAUCCGGAUUUAUUGGGUUUAAAGGGAGCGGAGAUGGGUUGUUAAGUCAGUUGUGAAAGUUUGCGGCUCAACCGUAAAAGUGCAAUUGAUACUGGCAGGCUGGAGUACAGUGGAAGUAGGCGGAAUGCGUGGUGUAGCGGUGAAAUGCUUAGAUAUCACGAAGAACCCCGAUUGCGAAGGCAGCUUACUAACCUGACACUGACAUUGAGGCUCGAAAGUGUGGGUAUCAAACAGGAUUAGAUACCCUUGUAGUC
rnacentral:rRNA from 1 species